rnacentral:miRNA from 1 species
CUGUGCCCUGGGUUUUGAAUUUGCAGUAACAGGUGUGAACAUUCUAGCAGCAGUUUGAUGGUCAUGUAUGAUACUGCAAACAGGACC